UACGGAGGGUGCUAGCGUUGUUCGGAAUUACUGGGCGUAAAGCGCGUGUAGGCGGAUCCAGAAGUCGGGUGUGAAAGCCCUGGGCUUAACCCAGGAAGUGCGCCCGAAACCAUGGGUCUUGAGGUCCGGAGGGGAUCGGGGAAUUCCCAGUGUAGAGGUGAAAUUCGUAGAUAUUGGGAGGAACACCGGUGGCGAAGGCGCCGAUCUGGGCGGAUUCUGACGCUGAGACGCGAAAGCGCGGGUAGCAAACAGG
rnacentral:rRNA from 1 species